rnacentral:rRNA from 1 species
AGCAGCCGCGGCAAUUCCAGCUCCAAUAGCGUAUAUUAAAGUUGUUGCAGUUAAAAAGCUCGUAGUUGAAUUUCGGGAUUGACCCAUCGGUCGUGCCUUAAGGGGUAUGAACUGGUGUAGUCAAUUUCUCACCUUCUGGAGAACCGUGAUGUCCUUAAUUGGGUGCCACGAGGAACCAAGGACCUUUACUUUGAAAAAAUUAGAGUGUUUAAAGCAGGCAUUUUUGCUUGAAUACAUUAGCAUGGAAUAAUAAAAUAGGACGGCAUGAUUCUAUUUUGUUGGUUUCUAGGAUCACCGUAAUGAUUAAUAGGGAUAGUUGGGGGCAUUAGUAUUCAAUUGUCAGAGGUGAAAUUCUUGGAUUUAUUGAAGACUAACUACUGCGAAAGCAUUUGCCAAGGAUGUUUUCAUUAAUCAAGAACGAAAGUUAGGGGAUCGAAGACGAUCAGAUACCGUCGUAGUCUUAACCAUAAACUAUGCCGACUAGGAAUCAGACGAUGUUAAUUUUUUCAAUGACUCGUUU